rnacentral:misc_RNA from 1 species
GUGAAUCAUCGAAUUUUUGAACGCAAAUUGCACUCUCUUCGGAGAGUAUGCCUGUUUGAGGGUCAGCCUAAAAAAAAUCGACAUAGUUGCUGUUACGCGGUAACAUUCGUCGGAAAUUGGGUCAUCUUAAACCUUUGGGUUUAAGCGGCUUAAAAUUGAUGAUACCUUGUGCAUCUCAAGACGUACAUAAGAAUUUUUUUUUUAUCCGUCCGGAGUUUGCCAAAUCUUUAUUAGGUAUGACCAUGAUCGUUUGUGGCAUUUGUACCUAUAAUUUUAACUCAUAUUUUGACCUCAAAUCAGG